UCAAGUAUUGUAUACACUUUGUAGUCACUUUUGUUUUGUCAGAAUUAUUUUCAUAUUGUGUAUUUUUGAUGAAGUUGGAGAUCUUAUCAUUUACUGAUGAAUGUGAUUAUAUAACUAUACUUUUGGUGUUGACUAAUGAGCCCAAUGCAUUGAAGAAAACAUAAAAUUGUUGUUAGUCAAGGCGUGUUAUUUUGGCAAUUUAGGAUAUGACAAACUGUUGCUUGUCUCCUGGAUGGUUACACAAAAGUAGAGGGUGUUAGCUUGUAUUGCAGAUGUGUUUAGGGCCUCAUUGGGCAAUUCUUGUUCUCAUAUUUGGGGAUAGCUGAUUAUGUUAUGUUGAGAAUUAAAACUGCAAAAUUUAAAGAAGUUCUGAGAUAGAACAUAUGUAGAAGGAGCAGGAUCUUGCCAAGGAAUGUGUGUUAGCCAUUAGUGGUGUAAGUGUGUGGCAUGAAGUUUCUCCUGCACUGCAUGUAUAAUUAAUUUGCACUAGUGGGAUAGGAGCAAAAGUUUUGUGGCUUAAGGAAUAUUUUUCCUGGUUUGCUUCAUUUGAAUGUAGGAUGCCUGGUCCAGUAGAUGUCCAUAUGUCUUCUAUCAAUACAGUGCUCCUUCAUGGCCAAGGAAGAAUGGCAAUCCUAACAAAUCUUAGGAUCUACAUGUUUUUAAAAAUUAAUUUUUGUUCUGAAAAUUAAAAAAAAAUGUUCCUUGACCGGAAAACAAUUUUAAUGUUAGGGCUGACUGCUUUAAAAAAAAAAAAAAUUCUGAAGACAAGUAUUCAAACAGCGCUAUUUUAAUCAUCAACUAGUGGAAAAAAAAUCUCUAGAUUCCAAAAACCUGUGAGGUUAAUUUUUUGAAAAAAUAACUUUCCACAAAAAAAGCAUGGAAAACAGUAAUAAAAAAUGGUACUUAAUUUCUGUUUUCACUUUUGGAUAAUUUUAUAUGUUACUUAAUUUCUGUUUUCACUUUUGGAUAAUUUUAUAUGUUGUUUAUUUCGGGUGGUGAGGGAUGGGGCAGGAUUGGGAUUGGGAGUUUGGGGAGGAAAUAGACUGAGGGGACAACAUUAAAUGAGGAAGAUUAUGUCACUUUUGAGGAAUACACAAUGUUUGUGUGAAAAAUAGAACAGAAGAAGA
rnacentral:misc_RNA from 1 species